rnacentral:rRNA from 1 species
CAUACCUAUUCGAAGGGAUAGGGUCGGUUUGGCCGGAUUUCACACAGGUGUUGCAUGGCUGUCGUCAGCUCGCGUCGUGAGAUGUUGGGUUAAGUCCCGCAACGAGCGCAACCCUCAUCCUUAGUUACCACCAGGUUAUGCUGGGGACUUUAAGGAAGCUGCCAGUGAUAAACUGGAGGAAGGUGGGGAUGAUGUCAAGUCAUCAUGGCCCUUAUGGAGUGGGCUACACACGCGCUACAAUGGUGAUUACAAUGGGCUGCAAGGUCGCAAGGCUGAGCUAAUCCUAAAAAAUCAUCUCAGUUCGGAUUGUUCUCUGCAACCCGAGAGCAUGAAGUUGGAAUUGCUAGUAAUCGUGGAUCAGCAUGCCACGGUGAAUACGUUCUCGGGUCUUGUACACACUGCCCGUCACGCCAUGGGAAUUGGUUUCACUCGAAGCU